UAGGUGGAUGUUCGAUGGUUUGAACACUUAGCUGUUAACUAAGAGGAUGUGAGAUCGAUGCUUACUCACCUAG
rnacentral:tRNA from 1 species